rnacentral:rRNA from 1 species
UCAGGCCUAACACUGCAAGUCGAGCGGGGUUUUCGGACCUAGCGGCGGACGGGUGAGUAAUGCGUAGGAAGCUACCCGAUAGAGGGGGAUACCAGUUGGAAACGACUGUUAAUACCGCAUAAUGUCUACGGACCAAAGUGUGGGACCUUCGGGCCACAUGCUAUCGGAUGCGCCUACGUGGGAUUAGCUAGUUGGUGAGGUAAUGGCUCACCAAGGCGACGAUCCCUAGCUGGUUUGAGAGGAUGAUCAGCCACACUGGAACUGAGACACGGUCCAGACUCCUACGGGAGGCAGCAGUGGGGAAUAUUGGACAAUGGGCGCAAGCCUGAUCCAAAAGUGCCGCGUGUGUGAAGAAGGCCUUCGGGUUUAAUCAAUGGCAGUAGGGAGGAAGCGUUGAGUGUUAAU